rnacentral:ncRNA from 1 species
GUCCCGAAAAGGCAACUUGCUCCGAAAGGGUAAGGCGCAAAUUAGUGGUCCUGUAGCCAGAGUUAGGUGUCGGUAUGGAUGUGCUAAUGCCGAA